AACGUAGGGGACAAGCGUUAUCCGGAGUUACUGGGCGUAAAGGGCGUGUAGGUGGUUUCGUAAGUCUGGCGUGAAAUUUCUCGGCUUAACCGGGAAAGGUCGUCGGAUACUGCGGAGCUAGAGGACGGUAGAGGCGUGUGGAAUUCCGGGUGUAGUGGUGAAAUGCGUAGAGAUCCGGAGGAACACCAGUGGCGAAGGCGACACCCUGGGCCGUCCCUGACACUGAUGCGCGAAAGCAUGGGGAGCAAACAGG
rnacentral:rRNA from 1 species